UAUAACCCAUAUUUCCAUACAUUGAGACGUUUUAAAAUAAACGCGACAAGUUAAGACAAGAUUAUUUUAAGGCGCGAGGUAGAGACUUUUAAUUCCUGAUUUUGUUUCAAUGCACAAGUUGCUUAUAAAUUUUAUUGGUAUAAAAAUAUUAUUGGAGAUUAGGGGUAAAUUAACCAUGAUUAGAUUAUUAAGUGGGAUUAAAAAAAAAUUGAUCACUUCAUUAAUUAAGCCUAAAGGGCCAUGUGGGCCCCACCCGAAUUUAUAUAAAAAAAAAAAAAAAAAGUACCAAAAAUCUGAAAAGUAACAAAACAUAGUGCAAUGUGAGUCACAAAAGAAGGGUGUACGUGUAACACCCUUGGAAAGAAUAUAUAGGGAAUAUGGCAUAGUGCAAAUGACAUCUUUUAAGUCAUUUAUUAAAAAAAAAAAAUCAGCUACCAAGAACUAGUAAACACAUCCAUGGCUGUGCACGGCUAGGUUGAUGAUUAAAAAAAAAAAAAAAAUCAGUUUGUUGCUAAUAAAAAUUCUAAGGAGAAGACAAGGAGAAGGAGGUGGAGAAGCAAGAAUAAGCAUAGGAAUUUAAGACACAAAUUGAAGCCAAGUAUUCAAGGGGAAAUGCUGCCGAAUUUUCUGUAGAAUUGAGAGUUAGUUUGGAAUGAAUAAUUACUUAAGUGCCUAUGGCUAACAUUGGAUAUUCAUGGGCAUAUUUGUAGACCUUGGGGAGCCCGAGUCGUAGAUUUGGAUUAGCGUUAGAUUGGCUAGCUUGGAGUGCGUACAAGGUACAGACGCACAGUUUGGUGAUCCACCUGUUUAGGACACCCCUUCUGCUAUUUGGAGUGCUCCUCUCAUUCCGGAGCUUAUACUUUUGGUAUAUAUUUGUUAGUACAUUUGUAUAUAUUCGUUCAUGGGUACGGCAGGGCCCUGUCCCGUCAUGUGAUUCUGUCGGUCUGUUUAGAGGUUUGUGGACAUGUUUGUGGGUUAGGGUCUUUCUGUAUGGAUGUAUGUACAUGUCGUUUGGGCGAUCCCAUACGCCGAGGCGGCCGGUCCGCAUAUGUUGUUUGGGCGAUCCUAUACGCCGAGGCGGCCGGUCCGCAUAUGUUUAUAUAUUGCUUGGUUAGCCCUGUGUGGCUUUUGUUGGUAUUUUCUGCGUGCAGGGUAUAUUGGAUAGUCCGUAAAACAAAGGAAACUCUGCCGAAAUUUUUCUGGAAAUUACCUAAAUUUAAAAUAAAGCCU